rnacentral:rRNA from 1 species
CACAUUUGACAUCUGGCACUUUCAGUGUCCGAGUUGUAAUUUGAAGAAGGUAUCUUUGGGUCUGGCUCUUGUCUAUGUUUCUUGGAACAGAACGUCACAGAGGGUGAGAAUCCCGUGCGAUGAGAUGUCCCAGACCUAUGUAAAGUUCCUUCGAAGAGUCGAGUUGUUUGGGAAUGCAGCUCUAAGUGGGUGGUAAAUUCCAUCUAAAGCUAAAUAUUGGCGAGAGACCGAUAGCGAACAAGUACAGUGAUGGAAAGAUGAAAAGAACUUUGAAAAGAGAGUGAAAAAGUACGUGAAAUUGUUGAAAGGGAAGGGCUUGAGAUCAGACUUGGUAUUUUGUAUGUUACUCUCUCGGGGGUGGCCUCUACAGUUUACCGGGCCAGCAUCAGUUUGAGCGGUAGGAUAAGUGCAAAGAAAUGUGGCACUGCUUCGGUAGUGUGUUAUAGUCUUUGUCGAUACUGCCAGCUUAGACUGAGGACUGCGGCUUCGGCCUAGGAUGUUGGCAUAAUGAUCUUAAGUC